AUGAUUGUUGUGUCUGUCCUUAUGGUUAUGGUCCAUCAACUCCUGAAAUUCAAAAGGUUCUAUGAGAAAAAUGGUGGUCCAGUUCUAAAAGGUGUAAAGAAUAUAAGGAUCUAUACAAGGAAACAAAUGAAACAAAUGACAAAUAACUACAAGCGUGUAAUUGGAGAGGGACACUUUGGUAAGGUUUAUCUGGGGACUCUCAAGGACAAACAACAGGUGGCUAUAAAGAAAUCCAUCAAGGUUAACAAGCACAUGAAAAAGGAGUUCACCGAUGAGGUUAUAAUCCAAUCUGCGAUGAGGCACAAGAACAUUGUCAUGCUCAUAGGCUGCUGCUUGGAGCUGGAUGUUCCCAUGUUGGUGUAUGAGUUUGCAGCGAGAGGGAGUCUGUAUGAUGUUCUCUUCAAGUGCAGAGAUAGGAUUCUGGUAGGCACACGAUUGCGGAUUGCCAUUGGGUCAGCCAAAGGCUUAACAUACAUGCAUUCAGCAGGGGAGGGUACAAUCCGUCAUGGUGACGUGAAAUCUGCCAACAUCGUUCUCGAUAAAAAGUUCACCCCAAAGGUUUCAGACUUUGGGACAUCAAAGCUACUCGCGAGAGGAAAAGCUGAGAUGACAGAACAUGUCAUUGGGGACAUGAGCUACAUAAAUCCGAUAUAUAUGGAGCAAGGGAUUGUUACACAGAAGAGCGAUGUCUAUGGUUUCGGAGUUGUCCUCAUAGAACUUAUCACAAGGAGGCCUGCAACAUAUGAUGCUGAGAGGAGCUAUGUUGCAAACUUUGUUGAAGCUUGUCUAGCAAAAAGAGCAAGAAACUUUAUUGAUAACAAUAUUACAAGCGAGGCGGAUAUCGAUCUCUUGGAAAUGGUCAGCAGGGUCACCGUGGAUUGUCUGAAGCCCAAUCCAGGAGAACGACAAGACAUGAAACAAGUAGAGAACCGCCUCCUCGAGAUUGUUGCACAUUCUGUGGACCAUAGUCAGGAGAGGAACUACGAGGGAGAUCUUAGUCCGGCACCGGAUGAUGUUGCUUUGCUUAAAGCCUUCGGAGAAUGA
rnacentral:rRNA from 1 species